AUGUAAAUAUUUAUAGGUAGUAAUAGUUAUGUUCUUGAAACUUAAAAAAUUUGGCGGUAUUUUAGUCUAUUCAGAGGAACCUGUUCUGUAAUCGAUAUUCCACGUUGGACCUUACUUAAAUUUGUUUUGCAAUUUAUAUACCGUUGUUAUUAAAAUAUUUUAUAAAAAGAUAAUAUUUAAUUUUUUAAAUAAAAAUUUAUAUCAAAUCAAGGUGUAGUUUAUGUUUAAGUAGAAAUGGGUUACAAUAAAUUUAUUUUUGGAUAUAAAUAUGAAAAAUUUAUUGAAAUUGGAUUUGAUAGUAAAAUUAUAUAGAUUAGUAAUUUGAUUUUAGCUCUAAAAUAUGU
rnacentral:rRNA from 1 species